GAGACAGCAGCCGCCACGGUAAUACGUAGGUGGCAAGCGUUGUCCGGAAUUAUUGGGCGUAAAGGGCUCGCAGGCGGUUUCUUAAGUCUGAUGUGAAAGCCCCUGGCUCAACCGGGGAGGGUCAUUGGAAACUGGGAAACUUGAGUGCAGAAGAGGAGAGUGGAAUUCCACGUGUAGCGGUGAAAUGCGUAGAGAUGUGGAGGAACACCAGUGGCGAAGGCGACUCUCUGGUCUGUAACUGACGCUGAGGAGCGAAAGCGUGGGGAGCGAACAGGAUUAGAUACCCCGGUAGUCCCUGUCUCUUAUAC
rnacentral:rRNA from 1 species